AAUUUAUUAUGAAAUACCCGAAUCUUCGAGGUAAUUUUAAGUGUUUCGAAAUCAAGCAUGUAGGAUGUUGCAAAUUUUCAUGCUAAUUGACAAAGACCACUUUUCAGUGACCUAUUCUAUUCACGUCUACUGUAAGUUUUGUGUAACGUCGCAGAGCGUAACACCAGGGGCUCAUUUCUCGAACAGUAUUAGACUAAUAUUAUUAGUCCACGAACUGUCAAGUUGUAUGGGUUACCAUGGCACCACACUAAUAAUAAUAGACUAAUACCGUUCGAGAAAUAGGCCCCAUAAUUAUUUAUAUUGGAAUAUAUAAUAUUCUAUCUUUAUCGCGGUAAGAAAACCGUAGUCAAUUUUACAUCUUAGAAACAAAAUUAUAGCCGUAUUAAAUUUAUAGUUUUUUUUGGCCUUAUUAUACAAAUAUACUUACAGGGAGCUUAACACUGUGGAGCAGCAUUUAAACGACUCGGAUUUCUAAAGGUGUGCCUAUUUUGGCUCUUUUAUUCGAACAUAUUCUUUAAAACAACGUUACCCAAUUAAGCUGGGAUAUGCUUUUAAAUUAGGUAUUUACCUAACCAUAAAUGCUGACGUUUGGCCCGAUAGCCCUGAGGGCGCCAGGAUACCGUUUUUUUAAAUUCGAGUUCAAAUUGUGCAGUUGUUAACCAGUAACAUUGAUGCGAUUAACAUGCGCAUAACCAAAUCCAGGAGGAAUUUGGUUAUGUUGUCGGUUUAAAUUGUAAAAUGGUUUAUAAAAGUGAUCCUGUCCUAAACGGGUUGUUGUUAAGAAUCGAUCGCUUUCAGACAAGGGACAGCUUUGUUUUAAAGCCUGUAUUUAUUAAGUGGUGUUUUGGUGAACUUAUUCUCGGUUCAGGGCCUAGGUCGAAUCGGAAAGUGCUCAUCGAUCACUUUGAUCAGAUAAUGUUUAUCUGGAACUUUUUGUAUAAGGGAACCAUUUGCGUACUUACAAGUGUCAGCUUUGUAAAUUUUUAUCUUCAUAAGUCUGCCAGUAAUGAUCAAGGUAGAUUUACUCUUCCAUUAAAUAAUAAAUAUAAAAUCUCAAACGCAUCUAAAUUGAUUGAGUAUAUGUAAAUUAAUAUUAAAUGUCAUUAUGAAUUAUUUGACGUAAUAACUACUAAGCACUUAAAAGCAGGCAUCCGUUCACAGUAGGUAUUUAUCCCGUUUUCUUAAGGUUAUUAUUAAUUUAUGGCGUGCGAAUGCUCGUUUAUCUUCCUACCGCCCUUUUACAGGUUUACAUAAUGAUACCCGCAUCCGUAUCUUAGGAUUUCACGAAGAAUUUGGAAUGGAACCCUUGAAAUUGGAAAGAAACCCACUGCACCCAGGUGAGACCUUAGUGCUAUUACUCUAUACUGUAACAGAAGUGCACGAGCGAUCGUGAUUACCAAUUUGCGCCCCAGAAUAGCUCCCUCAUCACCGACUCGCCAUGGCGACUUGGUAUCGAUCGACAUUUGACUCCUAGCCUGUUCUUUACAAUGCUUCGUUGGCGCAACGCCUCAAGCGAACCAGUUUUGGUGUGAUCUACGUUUACGCAUAGUAAUCACGGAUCUUAAGUUAUACUAGGGACUUCGGACGAGUUCGAGCUCACAGUUAAGAGAAGUUGUUUGCAGUUUGCGAAUUAGAUAUCUGACAUUUGCCCGGUCCCUGCAUGUCCAAUCUACCUUUACUUGUCCGUAACUGAUCGGCGUGCUCGCUUGUAAUGACCACUCCGGAGCGCAUUUUACGUUUGUUUUAACCGCCGCAAUCAUAUGUCAUUUUCUCGCGUUUCGCGCCAUUUUACCGGUCAUCAGCCCGUCGUUCCAAUACAGGCGCGUACGCUACGUAAUUAUUGAAAGCGAGAGAAUCCGCUCUCGAUGCGUCGGUAUGCCGAGCCCAGAGCCGACCACUUAUUUAACUCGAUCAUUCGCUUUUCUUUCACUUUUCUCCUUUUGGAUUUGACGUAUAGCGUAAUUAAAUGAAUGGCGACAUGACCCUUACCUAUCUACUUACUAUGUUGCGGUAUGAUUUCCCGGAAAGACCGCAAAGUAUCAUCUUGUUUUGUCAUAGAACACUGACAGCGAAACUAGUCUAUAAUGAGGCGAAGUGUUCCAAUAAGGACAGUUGUACACGCGCCACAAUGCCAGCGGCUUUUCUAUGAUCUGGAGAAAGUUGCCAUAAAUGUAUGAAUUUAUAUUAUAGCGAGCAGAUUCCUAACUUAGUGCUUCGUAUUAAGAUCACGCAAGCAUCCUUUUUGCUUAAGAUUUUGAGGUCUACUAUAGUUUAUGACAGAAUUCAGAUUAUUGUUUUCGAGAAAACCUGUUUACCUAUUAACCUUAUCGUUAUUAUAGGUUUAGAUUUCCCACUCACAUGCUUUUAGUAGCUGUAGCUACCAGCUGUCACCCUUAUUUUAUUAACCGACUUCAAUUUCAUAGGAGGUUCUGUAUUCGGUUGUGGCUAUUUUUUUGUAACUAAUAGAGUUUACCGAAAAAUAUCAAUUAUCGACAUCUCUGCUGGCCCCGCAGCAUGGUUGCAUUUUUAUCGCCUGGUUCUAUGCCUGUCACUUUCGCACUUACAUACUUUAGAACGUGAAAGGCAUGGUGACGUGACAGGCGAUAAAAAUGCAACCGCUGCUGGACAACUUAUCAGUGAUUUCUUUCUCGUGAUUUAGGAACAGGUAUCAUAUUUUCUUUAAACUUUUUUGCAGAUUUCGGAUUUUCUCAAGUUGUGCUGCAUCACCGACAAGUUAGGUACAUAAACAAAAGUUAUUACAUUUCUCAUUGCUCAAGUGUAUUUUUUCACUCGAUCCAUGCGCGUCAUAUCGAACCUACAUUUGUCUCGCUGCUCAUUUUUAGCUCCAACAGUCUGUCCGUGGUCUUAAGUUGGUGGUCAACCGGCGAUGCGUGAAGAGCAGCCGGUCGCCCGGGAAAGUGGAUGAUAGGCGUCUGACAUAAUUGUGCACGGAUAAGUGCGUGCACCUUCCAUUGUGGCCGCGGCUUUACUGCUUUAGAUAGCGAGCUUUCUAUAGUACAGACACCCAAUGUCAACUAAGUAGAGGGAGCGAUCUGAAUGUGACAUUUGUAGUUGGGAAUAAAAUGAGCAUAUCUGACAUUACUUUGCAGGGGUGCGUGAACCUAAAAUUGGGUCUACGGAUAGCGACUUUACUACAGUGGAGGACCUGACUCGUACCUAAAUAAGUAUACAAUAAAACUAAAGUAACUAAAAGGACACUACAUAUAGACAGAAGACAAAACAGCGCGUGUACUACUUGCUGAAUAAAGAAAAACAAUCACAGAAGAGUGCAGAAGCUAUAGAUGGGAAUCUAAUUGUUCAGGUUUGAAGGUCGUAUCGGUCUAGAAAUACCGCAGGCGAUUGAGGAACGAUCGAGGCACGCAUGUUACUGGAGAAAACUGGAUGCGGUCCAAUUCAAAGCUCGUUCCUACUGGGGUAACCGUCCCCAGAGAUGAGAACAGUAUUUUAUGUCUGGGCGAACCUGCGCCUCAUGAAGGAGGCCAGCGCGCCGCGGAUGAUCGGCGCGAGGAUGCGUAGCGAGGAUGUGAAUGUUUCUAAUUCUAUUUAAUGUCACUAAUUCAUACGAACCAAGUAGGUAUAAAUGAGUUUUACCUUUAAAAUACUGAAGUUUAAUUUAGUAUUUUUGUUUAAGUUUAAAAAUAUUUUAUUUGAUUACUUUAAUAGAACCGUAUUUCCCCCGAAGGGUAAAAAACGGAUAUUUAGGUUCCUGCCGAAGCUUGGACCACUUAUGAGAUAACACCCUUGUAACUCAGCCCUAAUCGAGUGAAUUUCUCAACUAGCAGCGCUUUGUAGAGCAUUUGUAGACAACUCUAACGUUAACUACUAACGACCCCACUACAAUACAAAUCCUCUUUAUUGCACAACCUCAAAAUAACAUUUACAGAGAGACAUACAUAUACAUGAAGACAGAGGUGACGACAAGCGGUCUUAUCGCUAAAGAGUGAUCUCUACCAGACAAACUUUUGGUAGCAGAGAAGUGAUAAUAUUAGUUUACCUAUUUAGGAGGUGCAAAAAACUAGAUUAGAAACUACUAGCUCUAAAGAAUAAACUUAUAAAUACUAAAUCUACCCAAUUUUUCAACUCAUAUUGAUAUAUCAAUAUGACUCUACAUAUGUCUCUACAUAUGACUCUACAUAUGUCGUUACACAUGACUCUACAUAUGACUACAUAUGUCUCUACAUAUGACUCUACAUAUGAUUCUACAUAUGACUCUACAAAUGACUCUAUUUAUGUCUCUACAUAUGACUCUACAAAUGACUCUAUAUAGGACUCUACAUAUAACUCUACAUAUGACUCUACAAAUGACUCUACAUAUGAAUCUCGAUUUUCCACCUCGACCUCGCUUUUUUGACCUCGUAUGAUGAUCACCAUGGUAACACACACCAGUUAUAUCCACCGAUUAAGACACUUGUGUCAAAAUUACUGGCCAUCAUAGAGUUGUUAUC